rnacentral:lncRNA from 1 species
GGCAUCAUGCUCUGAUACCUCCCCAGAUACAGCUUUCUGCCUCUCCUGCUACCAGGGCACCGUACCUAUUCUGCAACUGUGGACCUGUAGGUGGAGAAGGAACUGCUGUCCAUGUGCCAGAAGUCAUGUUAGUUAUUUUCAUCUCAUAAUUUCUAAUCAAUAUUGCAUUCAGCAUCACACCAGCUUGAAAGGAGGCAGAUAACAGCAUGUCAGAGAAGAGUGAGGGCUGGCUGCUCCCUGAAGUACAGAGAUCCUGGAGUCAAGAGCAGUAGUACUGCCAAGAAGGUGCUGCUAUCGUUCGUUCCAAUACUUCUCCCUCCUGGAUUGGAAGUGGGAGAGGCUUUUGGCAGUCGUUGCCACUGAUGGCUUAUAGGAGGC